UCAGUGUCGUAGUUCAGGUCGAGCGGCUUUUAUUUUGAAACAACCCUCAGCGAGCAGGCGGAAGUGGGUCGUGUGGUACCGGGCGGGCUUGACGUGCCGCUGGCGCUGAUGGCGGCGGGGCUGGCGGAGGGUCGCACCGAGGAGGGAGAGCGAGGAGGCGGGGAACCGGAGAACCAGAGAGAGGAGGCCCCGGCGGUACCGAGCACCGACACACCGACGAUCAACACGCCGACGACGACAGCAGCGAGGCCCGCAGAGUGACAGCGAGGAGGACGGACGGAUGGAUGGAGCGGACCUCCUAUUGGCCGUCAUCCUGUCUCUCUCCACCAGCCGGUUCAGGUCUUCAGUUGCAGUCGUCGUUGUUACGCGACGCGCCUGAACCAUCGGAGCGCUUUGAACCAACAGCUCUGAGUUGUGUAUCGAUGCUUUUUGGUGCUAACAACCCUGUAAACGAUCACAUUAGCAGGUUAGCUGGAGUGUGGCAGGAGCUUGUAGAGGCGCCACGGUUCAGACUCAUCACACGGCCUCAUGUAGUCGCUGUCAGACUAACCACACUGAGACUGUUGGACUUUGAUGCUGUGGAGGUUUUGCAGACGAAUGUUCUGAGGUCACAGUUGCUGCUGACUGUGCCCACAAACACUGAGGGGGGAUCAGCAGCGUUGGAUCCAGGCGGUGCCGGUCGGUCCAGAGCUGAAUGAACUGGACCGCAUUCCUCCACAUUCUGCUCAUUGGAAACAACUGGACCAGAAAAGGUUCUGUGGACUCAGGAGACUUUAACUCCGGGACCUCACAGACUGAAGUGGAGUGUUUGAGGCCUCGUCGUCUGGAAACUGUCUGAAUUUAUUCACAUAUCUCGACAAACGUUGAUCUGUUCUACUUCACACGGUACCGGUUUGUUGCUGAGGACCUACAGAAGUGCAGGGUUGAGUUUGGUCCAGUUUGGACUCUGGAUCCAGUGUAUGUAUGACAUGAUCUCAUGUUUGUGGUUUACAGAUGUUGUACUGUAAAAAAAAGACUUCAGCUGUUUAUUAGAUUCUGAGCGUUUCUGCCUUAAAUAACUGGACUUGUUCCUGGAAUCUGUUCUGGUGGUUCUGCACUGUGUGAUGGUUUUGUCUCAUGUUUGCAGUCCAGGACACGAUGUGAUCAACGGAUCAUAACUGAUAGAUCAAUAAAGCUGCAACAGAAACAAACA